rfam:Virgibacillus soli strain PL205 scaffold000097, whole genome shotgun sequence.
UCAUAAGGUUGAACGGCUAAAGGGCGCGCCCUCCUGGCGCAACGCCGUUCUGACCAACAUCCUGUUGA